UGGUGGGCUUCAAUUACAGGGCCAUUUGAUGGAUAAAUUAACUUCCCUCUUUCUGUAAAUAAGUGAAAUUGGUAUAGGAGACUGGAGAAAUUCUUCUUUUUCUUUUCCUUUUUUUUUCUUUUUUCUUUUUUCUUUUUUUUUUUUCCUAGCUGUUUCCAAAGAAUCUGAAAAGCACUCUUAUAACAUAGAUCACCACAUGAGCUCUCCUUGAGCAUGGAGUACCACGACCACAUGAGAUAUGAUGAAAAUUAACAAUACCGGUUGAAUGAAAACACGAAGUUUAAGGAACAUAGCAUUACACUUGAAGCUGUGGAGGUGAGCAUGCAAGAUGAGGAAGGAAAAGGAAGUCUUAACAGCUGGGAAGGAAGAACUGUCUUCUGAACAUUGCUUGACCAAUGAAGAAAAAGUAAGGCACAGAGGUCUGACAGAA
rnacentral:lncRNA from 1 species